AUUGAACGCUGGCGGCAUGCCUUACACAUGCAAGUCGAACGGCAGCACGGACUUCGGUCUGGUGGCGAGUGGCGAACGGGUGAGUAAUAUAUCGGAACGUACCUUCCAGUGGGGGAUAACGUAGCGAAAGUUACGCUAAUACCGCAUAUUCUGUGAGCAGGAAAGCAGGGGAUCGCAAGACCUUGCGCUGAUUGAGCGGCCGAUAUCAGAUUAGCUAGUUGGUGAGGUAAAGGCUCACCAAGGCGACGAUCUGUAGCGGGUCUGAGAGGAUGAUCCGCCACACUGGAACGGAGACGCGGUCCAGACUCCUACGGGAGGGAUCAGUGGGGAAUUUUGGACAGUGGGGGCAACCCUGAUCCAGCCAUGCCGCGUGAGUGAAGAAGGCCGUCGGGUUGUAAAGCUCUUUCGGCCGGGAAGAAAUCGUGUGGGCUAAUACCCCAUAUGGAUGACGGUACCGGAAUAAGAAGCACCGGCUAACUACGUGCCAGCCGCCGCCGUAAGAC
rnacentral:rRNA from 1 species